rnacentral:rRNA from 1 species
GACAGAGGGUGCAAACGUUGUUCGGAAUUACUGGGCGUAAAGCGCGUGUAGGCGGCUCUGCAAGUCGGAUGUGAAAUCCCUCGGCUUAACCAAGGAAGUGCAUCCGAAACUGCAGUGCUUGAGUACUUAAGAGGAUCGCGGAAUUCCCGGUGUAGAGGUGAAAUUCGUAGAUAUCGGGAGGAACACCAGUGGCGAAGGCGGCGAUCUGGGAAGAUACUGACGCUGAGGUGCGAAAGCGUGGGGAGCAAACAGG